CUGACACCCCGAGAGAUCGGGCGUUCCCCUUCGGGGGACAGGGUGACAGGUGGUGCAUGGUUGUCGUCAGCUCGUGUCGUGAGAUGUUGGGUUAAGUCCCGCAACGAGCGCAACCCUUGACCUUAGUUGCCAGCAUUGAGUUGGGCACUCUAAGGUGACUGCCGAUGACAAAUCGGAGGAAGGUGGGGAUGACGUCAAAUCAUCAUGCCCCUUAUGACCUGGGCUACACACGUGCUACAAUGGGCGGUACAAAGGGUUGCGAACCCGCGAGGGGGAGCCAAUCCCAAAAAGCCGCUCUCAGUUCGGAUUGCAGGCUGCAACUCGCCUGCAUGAAGCCGGAAUCGCUAGUAAUCGCGGAUCAGCAUGCCGCGGUGAAUACGUUCCCGGGCCUUGUACACACCGCCCGUCACACCACGAGAGUUUGCAACACCCGAAGUCGGUGGGGUAACCCUUACGGGAGCCAGCCGCCGAAGGUGGGGCAGAUGAUUGGGGUGAAGUCGUAACAAGGUAGCCGUAUCGGAAGGUGCGGCUGGAUCACCUCCUUU
rnacentral:rRNA from 1 species